GGAGGCUACCAUGCAGUCGAGCGGAUGACGGGAGCUUGCUCCUUGAUUCAGCGGCGGACGGGUGAGUAAUGCCUAGGAAUCUGCCUGCUAGUGGGGGACAACGUUUCGAAAGGAACGCUAAUACCGCAUACGUCCUACGGGAGAAAGCAGGGGACCUUCGGGCCUUGCGCUAUCAGAUGAGCCUAGGUCGGAUUAGCUAGUUGGUGGGGUAAUGGCUCACCAAGGCGACGAUCCGUAACUGGUCUGAGAGGAUGAUCAGUCACACUGGAACUGAGACACGGUCCAGACUCCUACGGGAGGCAGCAGUGGGGAAUAUUGGACAAUGGGCGAAAGCCUGAUCCAGCCAUGCCGCGUGUGUGAAGAAGGUCUUCGGAUUGUAAAGCACUUUAAGUUGGGAGGAAGGGCAGUAAGCUAAUACCUUGCUGUUUUGACGUUACCGACAGAAUAAGCACCGGCUAACUCUGUGCCAGCAGCCGCGGUAAUACAGAGGGUGCAAGCGUUAAUCGGAAUUACUGGGCGUAAAGCGCGCGUAGGUGGUUCGUUAAGUUGGAUGUGGAAAGC
rnacentral:rRNA from 1 species